GAAACAAGAAGUGAUGUCUCGGUUCCUUCAGUUUCUCUGUGUCAUCAUAGCAGCUUCGCAUGCUAUGAGGUUUGCCACCAACUUCUCUGUUCUUGUAGAACAUCCUACACAACACCCAAUCUUCAUGUAUGGACAGAAAAAAGAGUUAAUUAGAUGCUAUCAUAGUUAAUUCGAACAUAUGACUAUGCUUUAGAAAAUGGCCGAGUUGAUGGAGUACUCCCACUUGCUUGAUAAAGCAAAUGAGUGUGAGGAUCUAUACAUGCGGCUUGUGUAUGCAUCAUCAUGGGCUGUAUCUGUUCACUAUGCAUACCAAAGAACAUGGAAGCCUUUUAAUCCAAUCCUUGGAGAGACCUAUGAAAUGGUUAACCAUGGUUGAAUCACUUUUCUUUCAGAACAAGUAUCUUUUCUUUUAAUUGAGUAGGUUUUGUAAGGCAUAUUUUACUUUAAUUCCAUAUAGGCAUUUGAUUUGUUAUAAUUGAUGCCUUGAUGCUAUUAAGGUCAAUGAUUGAUUCAGUUCUUAGCUAUUGAUUUUUCAAAAAGAAAUUACCGGGAAAAUUUCUUUGCCGAGCUAUUGAUUCAAUUCUUGGCUAUUGAUUUUUGUUGUUGGAUCUCAACAACAAAAGAUUCAAUUCUGACUUGGCAUACAUGGCCAAGCAAAUUUUCCAUCAUUUGCUAUUCAUCGUGAUGUUCAUCCAUCACCACUACCUAUGCAUUUGUUUCAAGGUGUUCUUUCUAUGCUAACUUACAACCAAGUCAUGGAAGUAAGUUGCAAGAAAUUUCAGAAGGAUAGUACUGAUGACUCAAACCAUCGUUCAGGAUCAAAUGCAUCAGACAAUAAGCCUUUCUACAACUUCUUAGAAGUUAAAGAUCCAGAGUGGGGGAAGGAUGCACCUGGAUCACAUCACGGGUGGCACGAAGCAGGACGCUACGGCCCUGAUCUUAGCUUGAAGCUUUGAUUCUAGCAGGAAACUGUGAAGCAGUAACAAUGGCUAUGAUGAGUAUGCAUUUAUAAUGGUUUUCUGCUUGAAAUCCAACAAUGUUAACAAGCUAAGAAAAAGUGAAUAGUUUCCUAGUCUUGGUUGAGGCCAAGGUAACUCGGAAUUAAAGAUAGAAGAGACUUGUUACAUUGGAGACCAUGCCUUUGGAUUCAAGGAAACUGGAAAUCAAAGAUAAGAAGAAAUCUUGCAUGGAGAUUUCAUUUGACCUAUCUUAAUUUCGAUAGUUAUGGUUUUAUUUUAUUUGAGACUUUUAAUUUGGUUACAUUACAUGUAAUUCUAUAGUUGCUCUAUAGUCUUAGUAAUGAAAUUUUAAAUUGGAUGACA